UGUGGUGGCGAUAGCAAGAAGGAUACACCUGUUCCCAUGCCGAACACAGUAGUUAAGCUUCUUAGCGCCGAUGGUAGUUGGGGG
rnacentral:rRNA from 1 species